CCAUUGCAUGGCGUCGUAGGCCAGGGGACCGAUGGACCAGUUGGAAGUGCAAGAGAAAUUGGAACAAACCCAUUUGGCUAGGGCGGAGGGAUUUUGCUCUGUGUGAGGUUAGAUUCGGAUCUCAGGGUUGGCCUCGAUGCCCUGGGGCUUGUGGGCUACAGCCUCGGUCGGAGUGAGAGCAGAGAUUGUUCAAAAAGCUGCCUGCUUAUUUGGGAAUUUGCCCCUGGCCCCAACUCGAGAAAUGCGGAUUUACAUCACUUUGGUACAUACUAUACUUUAAAAGUCUCAAUUUUGGUUGUGGCGCCUGUGAGAAGCCUUUGAAAUUUGUUUUGCCGUGCAUGAGAUACUGUUCACUGUUGGUGGGGUGUAUUGGAUGAUCAAAUUUUUCCUUUUGCUUGGGGACAAUUCGUGUCAACUUGUACUAUUCUGAUCUGUGGUAUUCUCUAGCUUCUGCUUCCAGUAGAAGGAUCUCUUAGCCCUAUGGUGUGACUAGGAAGUAGGGAAAAUGUGAUCAUUCAAAUUGCAGUGGUUUGUAUCAUUCACAGAUGUUGCUCCGAUCCAAGCAAGGUUGUCUCUGUGAAAAGCUUGAAAGGCGAAGUGAAAUAAAUCAGCAAAGAUCUUGUUUUCAAAGAGGUUAUUGCCAUGGAUACGAAUGAGUGAAGAACUGGAUAGCUCAUUUCAGGUUCUUCUCUCGUCCAUCUGAUUUUUGAUUCAUGUUUUAAGCAGCCUUUGGGAUUGGAUCCUAAACAGGCAGCCUCCUCUAAACACUCUUUGGUUCUAUCACAAGUUUUUGUGUCUAUGGUUUAUUGCUAGGAUCAAAUUUUAAGACAUGCUAUCCAUUAUUUACAGGGGAAGAACGUUUCACCACAUUGGCACCUUUUUAGUGGCUCUGUACAAGUUCCAACGAGGUGGAACUGGUUAUUCUUUUGUCACUUUCAGUUCUGCUAUCCUUGUCCAUCCAAGAGUAGCUAAACAAGGCAGCGUUUGAGGAAGAGGACUGUGGAUUAGCUAUCAACGGUGCAUGGUGGUCUUUGGGGCCAGGCUUGGUGCCGUAUCCAAGUGGAAGUUGUAUUUUGUGAUCCUUAUCGUCUCUACACUUGGCCGGAGUCUGGUUGGUUGAAGUAGGCCUGACGGAAGUUGUUCUAAAAGAUUUCAGUUACGUAAGUGGACUGUGGAAGCUGUCAAGCAAAUUUACAUUAAAUAUGGUUCAUGAAAGGUCUUGUUUGAUUCCAAAUUCUAAGAACUGAUUGAGACUUAUAAUGAUAUGUCACCUUACAA